AUACGGAGGGUGCGAGCGUUAAUCGGAAUUACUGGGCGUAAAGCGUGCGUAGGCGGUUUGUUAAGUCAGAAGUGAAAGCCCUGGGCUCAACCUGGGAACGGCUUUUGAGACUGGCAGACUCGAGUUGAGUAGAGGGGAGUGGAAUUUCCGGUGUAGCGGUGAAAUGCGUAGAGAUCGGAAGGAACACCAGUGGCGAAGGCGACUCCCUGGACUCAAACUGACGCUGAGGUACGAAAGCGUGGGUAGCAAACAGGAUUAGAUACCCGAGUAGUCC
rnacentral:rRNA from 1 species